AGCCUACAAAAAAACGGUUUCCCCAGGCCCCUCGAGUGAAAAUACCAGCCCUCAUCACUCCGCAGUCUGCCCCCCAGCCCACUGAUAGCAACCAUCAUAAUGCCCCACCCAGCUUCCGGCACCUUUCGCCACUCCGGCACAAACCGAAACAGCUUUGCGAUCUCACCAGCAUGCAGAGUCUGAUGUCUUCCCUAUAGAUGAUUCCAGAGACUCUGUGAAGCCACUAUUACAAGGUGAGACGCUUUGCGUUGAUUGGUGCUGCUGGACCACACUGGAGGUGCGAGUCCGCUGUGUAAUGGUUUAUGCCAUUACAAAGGAGCUGGCGUCUGUACUCAACUGGGCAGGGAA